rnacentral:lncRNA from 1 species
CAGCUAGCCUGCUUUUUCCUGUGAUUUGACAGGAAAUUUAAAAGGAUAGGUGACCUUCGAAGGCCACGAAUUGUUCCAUCAUCCUUACUAAUGCAUUUACUUCAGUUUCUGUCUACCUAGCAACCUGCUCUGCUUUUCAAAAGGUCAUUCACCUUCACACUGUGGAGUUUCCGGCUUUCAGAUUCAUUUGCAAAUAUUCAAAUCGAAGGAGGUGUCUUAAAGAUGACUUUGUCCAGUGACCAAUGAUGUGUUUUCCCAUGAAUGCUGAGUUGAUGGCAUAGAUUAGGGUAUUUAAAAGAAUACAACAGAGAUGAGCCGGCUGUAUUGAUUUAAAAUGGGCAAUCAUGCAAUCUUCAUAAUAGAGUGAGAUUCCACUUUUGAAUAGUCCCGGAUCUUCUGAAGCAUGGAUGGAUGCUGUCACCGUAGCUGUUAUUUCAGUUCCUAAAGGGACUUCUUUGCCUGAUGUAGAAUGCAAUUUGGUGUGAAUGGGAAAAGGAACAACCAGCAAAUGCCAUUCCUGC